GUGGGCCUAAAGUCGAUUCUACCAAUAAUUCACUUAACUAGACGUGAAUCCUAGCCGCCGCAAAUUCAAGGUUGACGCCUAAAGUCAGUGCUUCAACUAUUUACUCCCACAACAACAGACUACUCUCUGCACUAAUCGAGCUAUUAGCUUAAACCAAUCAUUUGCGCUGGCAGUCGACGGCAGGAUCUUCACGAUGUUCUGUUCGAUGAUUAGAACGAAGUUCGGUCAGUCAACAAAUGGCGGAGAGCUGAGCGUGGGAUAACUACACCGAAUCACCUUGCUUCCUGCUUGGAGACUCCACACAAAUGGUAGCAGUAAGGUCGCGUAAUCAAUUUAAUUUAAAACAUCGGAAGCAAUAAUUCUCGUCACAUACGAGCCUGCUGAUAAGUGACCGUGGUGUUCGUACGGUCUGCUAGAAAUCGCGGACUUCAUUGGACUGCAACGGGCGAAUAGGUGCUGCAAGCUUUCAUUUCAAUAAUGUCAAGCUUCACUAAGAAUGGAAUUGCGUUUUGGAAUGAUUUUAUCGCAAUCACUGGCAUAGAAACUGCGCUCUGCUUCUGACUGUCCUUUUAAUAAUAACUUAAUAAUGGG